CUCUGUAUACCACACAAACACAGCUCGAGAUGCACUGGAGAGGGCAUCUCACCUAAAUGCAAAUUGUAAAUGACCAGGGAGGCGUGCUGAUGCUCCUUGCUUUAUUAUGCCUCAUUAUAACAGCCAGACUUUGUCCACUCUUCAUGGCAUGGCACUCUCAAAAGCCCUAGGGACGUGCACCAAGCCCCACACAGUGUAUUCCGCACUGCAGAGCUGCACAUCCCGUGUGCCGAGCCCACGGCAGCCCUGCUGCCGCCCGGCCGGCCCUCCCUGCAGCCCGUGUGCUGCCCCGGGACCACCGCGGCCGGGACCGCCCGGCGGACCCGCCGAAGAGCCCUGGGGCUGUUCCGCCGGUGAGGGGCACCCGGGGGCGGCCUGUGGCCGACAAGCCCUGUCAGCCCCUCAGCGUACUCCGUCCCGCUGCCCCUCCGCAGCGCAGCGACCCCCGCUCUGUCCCGCCCCGACACCGCGGCCACCCCGCCCGGCUCCUCAGGGCGCCAUGCUCCCUGCGCCACCGCGUUGCCAUGGAGACGCGAGGCCCCCGGCGCCGCCGGCCGGGGCUGUCCGCGGCGUUCGCCUGCGGCGGGAGGGCGGCGGUGUGGGGGCAGCCGCGGGCCCUGCGGGCCGUGCCACCCCGUCAGCGGAAGGAGGAAGCGCCAUGGCCGAGGCCUGGGCCGGUUUCUCGCAGGAGGAGCUGCGGCGCCUGCGGAGCCAGCACCCAGGUUUUUAUGAACCCCCAGAGCAGCAGCAUCAUCCCCACGCUGUGAAUAAGAGUCGGAAGCCAACACCAAGAGAAAAAGCCUUCCAGCAGCAGUGUCAGAAGCUGGGACUGCAGGGUGGAGCAGCCUCUGUUCCUCCUGAGCAGUUGCUUUCUGUACCAAAACACAAGCCUGGUCCUCCUGAGCAGCCUGUGCCACCACCUCAUCCUCCUUCAGUGGGAGAUCAAAGGCAAAGUGGCAAUCGAGAGCAGCAGAAGGAAGCUACGCCGCUAGAUCCUUGUAAUGGCAGUGACAAUGCGCAGACCCGCCCUGCAAAGUCAAACUCCAAAGCGGAGAAAAAGAAAGUGGAAUUGUUAGCAGGAAAAAUCACGAUGGGAAAUCCUCCAGCAAGAGCAACGGCUAAUAGAAGAGAAGAAUAAACGCAAGAAGGCACUCCUGGCCAGAGCUAUUGCCGAGAGAUCCAAAAGAACUCAAGCUGAAACAGCGAAACUAAAAAGGAUUCAGAAGGAGUUACAAGCUCUGGAUGACAUGGUAUCUGCUGACAUUGGCAUUCUGCGGAACCGCAUUGAUCAGGCCAGCCUGGACUACUCGUAUGCCCGGAAACGGUAUGAAAAGGCUGAGUCGGAGUAUGUGGCAGCCAAGCUGGACCUCCAACACAAGACAGAGAUUAAGGAGCACCUCACGGAGCACCUGUGCACCAUCAUACAGCAGAAUGAACUCCGCAAGGCCAGGAAGCUGGAGGAGUUAAUGCAGCAGCUGGAAGUGGAGGCAGAUGAGGAAAAUCUGGAACUUGAGAUAGAGGUGGAGCGGAUGCUGCAGCAGCAGGAGGCAGAAGCAGGGAGACAAGCCAGCCAGUCACACAGUCCUGCUGGGACAGCGAAGGAAAUCCCCACUCCCAGUGUUACAGCGCAGAAGAGUGAGCAUGCUAACCAUGCUGUUGCUUCUCCUGCUAGUUCUGAACAGUUGGUUCACCCCGAAAACUCCGGUACCAAAUCUUUCUCCAAUAUGGACAACCAAACUCAAACAGUGACUCCAGGAAGCCCCCCAGCUUGUUCUGGGACGUGAUUACUACAUUCACAUAAGCCAGCCAGUUAUGGAUAAUAUGCUCUCUGCAGGCUUGUGUGCUGUAUGUUAUACCUGGGUUUCUGCCGUGCCAGUAAUAUGCACUUCAUUUCUCUUUAAUAUUGUUUUCACAUUUUAGAGGCUCUUUUUUUCAAAAGACUUUCAUUUGGGGUUCUCCAUCUGUCUUCAUCAUUCCGGUUUAAGUUCAUGUUCUAAUACCCAGCUCUUCAUGGGGCUUUGUACCUUCCUGAAACAGGAUACUUGGAAGUGAACAGUAGGGUUUUUCCAAAGGCUUUCAGCAUAUUGAUAUCACAGAUACCUGUUCCAAGCCGUCUGCGAGAGAUGCCUAUCUACAGGAGGAAACAUCCCAACUUACUCUGCUUCUGUACACAUUCUGUCCCCUGACAACUGCGAUAGGAUGUUUGUCUUCCUUUGUAUCCAUAAGGGGUUAGUUUUCAACGGUUUUUAAUCCUGUGAAACCCAAGUGCUUACUUUAAUUAUCUUCAUAGCUGAUACUCUUUCCUGUACCUGAUUUAAAGGAAAUUUGCAUAUUGAGGCAGCUUGCAAAGUCAGUUGUAAUAUUUCCUAUUUAUCACUUUGCCUAUUUCUUUCCUAUCAUACUGGAUCACACAAAGCUAUACAUUGAUAACAUUGUUAUCUAUGAAAUCACAGCAGCUAUGGUUUAACAAAAAUGAUGGGUUAAUGGGUUACAGUAUAAGACAAUUAAGAAUGUAUGUAGAAGUAGAAACACACAAAAGAGACUAUGUUACAAUUAAAGCUGUUCCAUUGCAAACAUUUUUCUCUGUCUUGGUUGCCUCAAAGUUCCAAUAAGUAGGGGAUCUUGUAAUGAAUAACCUCUACUGUAUAUUGGAAGUGAGCCUAUUGUCUUAUGAUCUUCAUUGCAUUUUCUUGCCUGAAGAGUGGGUUUGUACCCCACAAGAAGCUCAGCUGUUUUGCUCUGUUAUUGUUAAGAGGCUUUAAAAAGCUAUUCCAGGUGGAGAAAGUCUCAGGAAUUCAAAUAGAGGAUAUAGAAAACCCCUCCGGUAGACCCAUGCAGCUGCAAACUGGGGGGACAGCACUCAUAGCUCUCCACUUUGGAAUGGAGGAAAGCUGCUUUCGUGAUGGAAAUGCUUUCUGUAAAGCCUGACUGCAACAACAUGUCAGUCAGAGUUUAUGAAUGAGUUACUGAAUGACACCAUCAAGUAUGUUAAUGGGAGACUGGUUGUCUCUAUGGCUUUAAUGGUGGAAAACAUGUCACUACAUUUCAUUUUUAUUCUAUUAAUAAAUCAGUGCCUCUUC